UUGAAAUAAACCUGAUGGGUUGCUGCUGGCUCUCCAGGGAGCAAUGUGCACACCUUGUCAUCUUUAUAUCUCCACCUGUGCACUUUUUGUAGACCUUUUCCGGUCUAUGUUGCUUCAUUUUACCCCAAUUGUAUGUCAAUAGAAUGUUGUGCCUUUAUAAUAUAUA
rnacentral:misc_RNA from 1 species